UCUUUAAAAGAUAAAUAAAUAAAUUAAUAUAUAAUCAACUAAUUAAAUAAAAAUAACCGAUUAAUUUUAUACUAAUUUAAGAAAAGAAAAUAAAUGAUAAAAAAAACAGGGGUGCAUUCAUUGAUUAAGGUUUUAGGUCCGUAAGGCUCAAUAAAUAUAAGCCCAUUUUGCCAAGACAAAUAACCCUAAUUUUUUAACAAAAGGUGAAGAAAAAUAAUAAAAUAAAUAGAAAAAUAAAAAAUAAAUAAGAGAAUAGAAAAAAGAGGAGAGAGUGGCGCUGCAUUAUUAGAAAGAGGGAUAGAGUGAAAUUUCAAGAUUCAAAAUUUCCCUCUCACAUUGCGGCACGUGUCCCAGGAAAAUAAAACAAAAAAAGAAAAAAAUAUAAUGGUGUAGUUAUGGAAGUGUUUUGAGAGGUGAAGAAGAAAUGAUGGGCGAGCUACUGUGUUGUUUGUUUUUUUCCCAAUGAAAUGCGAGAGAUGAUGAGAGGUUAUUAUGUUGGUUGAUUGUGUUGUUGGAAAGGAAAU
rnacentral:lncRNA from 1 species